UCAUUCAUAAUUUUUUUUUAAAAAAACGAACUAAAAAAAGAUACAAAUUUUAAGGACAAGGGUUUUCACUCACAAAGUAGCACUUACAAGUGCUUGCUUUUAUUCCAAUAUCCACACACUUUGCAUCAAAAUAGGACUCUCCAAAUUUUUGGAUGCAAUAUUUUUUGCAAAGUGGUAACUCUUUUGAACAAGGAACAUAAGCCAAAUAAGGUAACAAACAUCUGAAUUCACCAUUCACUUGUGUGAUCACCAACAUGCCUGCAAAAAUCAAUUACUAUACAUUAAGGUUGGGUCCAACUCAAUAACUUAAUUUGAUCUAAAUGUUACGUCCAUGUGAAGAAUAUAUAUAUAAGCAUCCAGUAUUCCUCGAACUAUGGUCAAAGUUGCUACGACAUACUCCCAACUCCACAGGAUUUCUAUUAUCCUCCUGAACUCAAUUUUAGUGUAUUUUUGUCACCCUUUUGUGCUGAUGUGACACAUUUAUUACAUAAAAUGGGGUCCACAUCAAAGGUGUCACAACAGCUAAAAAGGUUGAUAAAAGAUGUUACGUCAGCAAAAAAAAAAAAAGACAAAAAUACGAAAAAUUGAGUUCAGGAGGUAAUACAACCCUUGUGAAGUUGGAGUGUGUCGUAGCAAAUUUGAUCAUUGUUCAGAAGGGAUACUAGAUGUUUUACUCUCUCUCUAUAUAUACACGCACAAAAAGUAUUUAAUGGAGCAGUAUCAGAUUUAUCAGAACUUAUUUUCCUUUUGAGUAAAGCAUCUAGUACCCUCUUGAACUAUGAUCAAAUUCGCUAUGACACACUUUAACUUCACGGGGUCGUAUUAUCCCUCUGAACUAAAUUUUAGUGUGUUUUUGUCAAUCUUUUUAAUUGACAUGACACCUUUUAUCAAUCUUUUUAGCUAAUAUGCCCCCUUUGACGUGGGCCCAUUUUAUGUAAUAAAGAUGUCACGCAAGAGUGACAAAAGUACGCCAAAAUUAAGUUUAGGGGGUAAUAGGACCCCUAUGAAGUUGGAGUGUGUCGUAACAACUUUGGUCAUAGUUCGAAACACCGGAUGCUUAUCUCUUUCCUCUAUGUGUAUAUUGAUACACCCACCAACACAAAUCCUCAAUAAAUCAAUCCAUCAAAAUUCAAAUAAAUAUAAAAAAAAAUCACAUAAAUUGUUUUUUUCUCUAUUGAAAAGUUGAACUUUGAUCUUCUACCAUUAUCAUCUAUCACUAAGUUAAAAUAAUCCUUUUAAAUUGAUGAAAAAAUUAAAAACAAAAAGAAAGAAAAUUAAUUUUGAAAAGAAAAUACAUACCACAAAUGUAAGUAAUGAGGAAAAUCAAACUGCGGAAAGAUGCACCAAAAUUUUCCAUUGAAUAAUUUAGUGCAUAAAAUAGUCACUUUAUCUAUUUUUAUAAUUGUAAAAUUUAAGAGAUUACAGUAAUAGAAAAA
rnacentral:lncRNA from 1 species